rnacentral:rRNA from 1 species
UACGUAGGUGGCGAGCGUUGUCCGGAUUUAUUGGGCGUAAAGCGCGCGCAGGCGGUGCGGUAAGUCUGUCGUGAAAUCUCCCGGCUCAACUGGGAGGGUGCGGUGGAGACUGCCGGACUAGAGGCACUCAGAGGCCGGUGGAAUUCCCGGUGUAGUGGUGAAAUGCGUAGAGAUCGGGAGGAACACCAGUGGCGAAGGCGGCUGGCUGGGUCCACAUUGACGCUGAGGCUCGAAAGCGUGGGGAGCAAACAGG